UACAGAGGGUGCAAGCGUUAAUCGGAAUUACUGGGCGUAAAGCGCGCGUAGGUGGUUUGUUAAGUUGGAUGUGAAAGCCCCGGGCUCAACCUGGGAACUGCAUUCAAAACUGACAAGCUAGAGUAUGGUAGAGGGUGGUGGAAUUUCCUGUGUAGCGGUGAAAUGCGUAGAUAUCGGGAGGAACACCAGUGGCGAAGGCGACUACCUGGCCUGUUUCUUGACGCUGAGGCGCGAAAGCUAGGGGAGCAAACGGG
rnacentral:rRNA from 1 species